rnacentral:rRNA from 1 species
CCUACGGGUGGCAGCAGUGAGGAAUAUUGGUCAAUGGGCGCGAGCCUGAACCAGCCAAGUCGCGUGAGGGAGGACGGCCCUAUGGGUUGUAAACCUCUUUUGUCGGGGAGCAACGGGCGUCACGUGUGGCGCCACUGAGAGUACUUGGAGAAAAAGCAUCGGUUAAGUCGGUGCCAGCAGCCGCGGUAUUACGGAGGAUGGGAGCGUUAUCCGGUUUUUUGGGGUUAAAGGGGUGCGAAGGCGCAUUGUAAAGCCAGGGGGAAAGUUGGGGGGCUAAACCUCUACCCGCCGUUGAAACUGGCGCUCUUGAGUAGAAGAGAAGUAUGCGGAAUGCGUGGUGUAGCGGUGAAAUGCAUAGAUAUCACGCAGAACCCCGAUUGCGAAGGCAGCAUGCC